rnacentral:rRNA from 1 species
UACGAAGGGGGGCUAGCGUUGCUCGGAAUCACUGGGCGUAAAGGGUGCGUAGGCGGGUCUUUAAGUCAGGGGUGAAAUCCUGGAGCUCAACUCCAGAACUGCCUUUGAUACUGAAGAUCUUGAGUUCGGGAGAGGUGAGUGGAACUGCGGGUGUAGAGGUGAAAUGCGUAGAUAUCGAGAGGAACACCUGCGGCGAAGGCGGGUUGCUGGGCCGACACUGACGCUGAUGCGCGAAAGCGUGGGGGGAGCGAACAGG